CCCCCCCACUCCUGUGUCUCCCGACCACAUUCCUCCACCUUCUGCAGCAUCUCACAGGUAGAGCUCAGAUCAGCAGUGUGACCACAGGAUGUGGAGGGAGUGGCUACAAGCGGGGACACCACAGCAGCAAAGUUGUAUUUCAGCUCUCAUCAAUCUAGACCCUUAUUAGUAAAUUAAAUAUUCUUUAGAGGCUUUUCCAGGCCUGCAGAUAUUUCUUCCUCAUAAUUCCAGCCCCUUUCAGAAUACACAAACAUUUCAACUUUUUCUAAAAGACCUGACAGCUUUGAACUUUGACCACAGACUCCCACCCCACAGAGGCAUUUGUGCCUUACUUGGAAGGAAAAUACUACAUCAAUGUCUUCUAAUCCUCCUAGUUAAAUAAGGAACACACUGAAAGAAAGAUACACAAGAUGGACCUGGCCCAGUUGGACCUGCCUGGAUGUAGGUGUGUCGCUAAAGGCGAGGAGGAGGUGGAUUCCGGGCCAGCAAAAGCUAAUCCACUCAGAGCUCAACUCUGCUCUAAGGAGAAUAAAACAACAAAACCAAGAUCCAGCAAGAUCCACAGGAUGGGUUUACUGGUGAUAUUACUUCAUAAUGUAAUAAAAUGGAUGCAUCUUUCCCACUGGUUUUGUAAGAGGACAGUAAACAUCACCAAGAGAAAAGAAGCCCUAAUCAACAUAAUUAUGCUCACAAGGGAAAGAAGCCCAAAUGUAAGAAGCCCUCAAGUUCCAAUUCUGCUAAACUAUACAUUGAGCAUGGCACUAUCAUGCACCCAUCCUAAGUUCAAACUGAACACAAGGAUUCUCUUCACUUCCUUCAAGAAGAGGCAUUUACUGCAGAGGCUCAAGAACC
rnacentral:lncRNA from 1 species